rnacentral:lncRNA from 1 species
AGGCCUCAAGCUUCAACUCAAUGGCGCAAAGUCAGGCUCCAUGGUGGUCAUCUCUCUUUCUCAUGCUAGAAAAUCACAAAAAGAUGAAGAAGAGAGGAACUUGCAGUAGAAGGAGAAGAUAACCAGAACUUUGCAAGGUUCGCAUCUCAUUCUGUCUGGAGAUUUUAAAUAACCUCAGACUUGAAUGGAACCUCCAAAAGCCACCUUUCAUUGACACAUUAAUUGCAGGAGACGUGCAUCGACAGAAGACUGACGUAUGCAUGACACAUAGAGACUACGAAUGGACAUGAUUGUUACUGCUGAUAUG